AGAUCCACCUGCCGCUGCCUCCUGAGUACUGGGAUUAAAGGUGUUCCCCACCACUAUCUUCUAAAUCUUAAUUGAAUAUUUGCGACUCAUGAACCCAUUGUUCCUAUGUUUACUAUUGCUCCUCUUUUGACAUCUUUGUUGGAACAGUAUUUUUCCUAUGUAUUUUUUAAAAUUUAUUUUUAAUUUUAUGUUUGUGCAUAUUUUGCUUACAGGUAUGUCUUUGAGUACCUGCCUGCCGUCUUCCGAGGUCAGAUCUCUUGGACCUGGGGUUAUAGAUAUUUAAAACUGGACAAGCUCUCUGCUUCGUGCCCAUGGAUACGAUGAGAUCAGCUGCCUCAAGCCCUUGCCUGCCACUUGAAUCAUCACACUUCAGCAUGGAACUAAACUCCAAACCAUCAUAGAAGCCCGAAGGGACCUGACCAACUGAGCCUUCAGGAAAACAUGCUUAGCGGAUCUCAAUCUAUCUUCCCCAGCAGAGACACAAGUUAGUGGUGCAUGGGUUAAAUAUUCAAGAUCAGGUUUUAUUCACCCUGGAGAUGAAACCAUGAGUUUUUAUGAGAGGGUGGGGUGCAUCAGAGAAGUUGGAAGACAGAGGGAAGGCUACAUACAAUAUAAAUAGAGUUCCCACACAUGAAAUUCUAAAACAAAACAAAAGGAAACAAAAUAUCAGAAAGCCUCAGAAUACAGUGUUCUGAGACUUAAUAUUUCACCCUUUAUACCUCAAUUGCUUUUCUGAAAGGUAUUUCCCCAGUAUACUUCACAUAGCUAUAUGCCCCUUAGAGUUGUUCUAUCUCAAGACUGUUUAGAUUUGUGCUUCCCCAAAGCUAAAAAAUGCUGAUUUGUUUUGAUUCUCUUUUUGCGUCCUUGUAAAACUACUUUGGAGACGUAUCUCUUCAGGGAAUCAUUUAUGUAGGUAAGAUAUUCAUUCCUCUUUUAACUUUACAGUGCUAAAGCAAUUAAUGUAUUCAGGGUAGUCAUUUGCUCUCAUCUGUGUGAUAUUCAAAUGUCAUAUUUAAUGGAUUGAGUUGUGUGCUCAGGAUUCUCUGUUAUUGUUGUUGCUUGUAGUUUCCUUGUGUGAUCAUUUUAUGGUGGUUGUUACUUUGGCUGUUAGCACUUAAUAGUACUUGUAAUGGACUGCAGUGACAAUGAGAAACUUUUAGUAGCCCAGAGAAGAUAGGAAAAGAAAAAGGUGGUGAGUAUAUCCUGCUCCCUCUGGGUGUGUGCAGGCUAACUACUCGGAUGCUCAGGAUUGCCUCCCUAUUUUCUAUAUCUCAUUGGUAAACAUUGUUAUAUCAAAAUUAAGCCCUGUUUUUGGUUCACUGCACCUUUGGAGUCUGCACGUUAUAGUUAAAAUUUCUUAACUUGAAUUAUUUGCAAUGUAUCUUUGUUCCAAUUUUUACUGUUUUUGCUUUUGCCACUAUUUAUCAACUACACAUAUUUUUUUUUUUGUUACAGGUUGGACUUUAUUUCCAUUUCCCCUGAUUGCUGCUGAGAUUUUUUGCCUGGUUUGAACCUGUGAAGUCUUGUGUGUUCUGUAACAGUCUCUGUGAGGCAAAUGUUUAUUGUUUCUGUUGUGUGUGGAAGAGACUUCAUCCUGUUUUUUUGCUUUUAAGGUCUUUCCACUUCUCCUUAUCCAUAGAUCCAUGAGGCUGGAGGGGAGAUGGCUGAUGAUGAGAUCUCAUGCAGGAUGAAGUGCUCCCAAGUCUCAUCUCUGUAUAUUGUCCCAUUGAGAGUCUCUGGGCUAUUUCUUAUCUACCACAAGAAGAAGCUCCUCUGAUGAGAGUUAAGUGAUACACUGAUCUAUAUGCUCUAUGGGUAUAGCAAUAUUCCAUUUGGAAUCAUUUUACUGUUUUGUUCCUUUUGCAGGAUAAUAGUGGUUUCCCUCAAGGUCCAUGAUCUAUCUAUCUGAGGUUCUUGUAACAUAUUAACAGUGUCAGCAUGCAGAGUACCUUCCAGCUCUAUGAACAUUAAGGAUAAAGCUUCUAGUCGGGUAUCAGCCCAAUUUCUCCAUGUUUGAUGAGAUAAGGUCUCACCAUGCUGCUCAUGAUAAUCUCAGACUCAGGCACAGAGGAGGGACUUCUCGCCUGUCUCCUGUGUAUCUUUCAUUGAAGAUACAAACCACACACCAAGCUGGUGGUAUUGAAUGUCGCUGUGCUUCCUCUUCCCAUCCUGAGAAGCUCACACUGGAGACUGCUACUCUUAGCUUAUGGCAUGUGGACCUGCUUUAUCAGGGUUUUGAUGAGUUUGAUACCAAACAGAAACAAAGAGUGACUUUGAAAAUGUCAUUUUAUUUGAAUUAACAAGAUUUUCCUCUCUUCUCUGAAAAGGGAUGUCGGAAGAGGAUGAUGUGCAGAGCCUGGGGUUUCAAUAGUAGUCAGGAAAUUUUUAUUUCUCCAGCAUCCUGUGACAAGGAAGGAGCAUGUGGAAACACCAGUGAAGCCUCAUCUACCAGAAAGGGC